rnacentral:tRNA from 49 species
UCCUCAGUAGCUCAGCGGUAGAGCGAUCGGCUGUUAACUGAUUGGUCGUAGGUUCGAAUCCUACUUGGGGAG